rnacentral:rRNA from 1 species
GCUGGCGGCAGGCUUAACACAUGCAAGUCGAGCGCCCCGCAAGGGGAGCGGCAGACGGGUGAGUAACGCGUGGGAACGUACCUUUUGCUACGGAAUAACUCAGGGAAACUUGUGCUAAUACCGUAUGUGCCCUUCGGGGGAAAGAUUUAUCGGCAAAGGAUCGGCCCGCGUUGGAUUAGCUAGUUGGUGAGGUAAAGGCUCACCAAGGCGACGAUCCAUAGCUGGUCUGAGAGGAUGAUCAGCCACACUGGGACUGAGACACGGCCCAGACUCCUACGGGAGGCAGCAGUGGGGAAUAUUGGACAAUGGGCGCAAGCCUGAUCCAGCCAUGCCGCGUGAGUGAUGAAGGCCCUAGGGUUGUAAAGCUCUUUCACCGGUGAAGAUAAUGACGGUAACCGGAGAAGAAGCCCCGGCUAACUUCGUGCCAGCAGCCGCGGUAAUACGAAGGGGGCUAGCGUUGUUCGGAUUUACUGGGCGUAAAGCGCACGUAGGCGGACUUUUAAGUCAGGGGUGAAAUCCCGGGGCUCAACCCCGGAACUGCCUUUGAUACUGGAAGUCUUGAGUAUGGUAGAGGUGAGUGGAAUUCCGAGUGUAGAGGUGAAAUUCGUAGAUAUUCGGAGGAACACCAGUGGCGAAGGCGGCUCACUGGACCAUUACUGACGCUGAGGUGCGAAAGCGUGG